UGUAACAAAGCAUGGAUGUUGAAAUACUUGAACAGCACUCAGAUAAUGUAUUUUAAUAAAAUAAAAAUGAUUUCCCCCUUUCACUGCAAUAUAAUGUUACUUAAAUAUCAAACAAUAUUUUCAAAUUUUUCUUUCAGAUAUUACACACACAUUUGAAUAAUGCCUCACUAGUAAAACUGGUUCAGAUAUUAAUCUAUCUGGGUGUCCCCUACUACCUCCUAUGUUUUAGAAGGCUUUCCUUGAAAUUUUCCAAGUCUUCCUGCCUGGUAUCCAAACAUCAGGGUGAUAGUGCUUUCCAUGCAGGAUUUAUGAACUCAAAUCCUUUCUCUAAUUCUCUGUGGGGUCAACCAGAUUCCUGGAGAAAUUCCAGCAACCCAACAACUAUGUCAUUACUGCAAAAUAGCCUCUCUGAAGCUACCUGCUUUGUUUAUCCAGAGGCAUUGUGGGAUCAGAAAGGUGCCAGCAGAGUGGUCUGGAGUGACUCGAAAUGUUUAUGUAUGGAGAGGACCUGCAAAAACAUACCUUCCACUUACCCUUCAGAAAGGAAGAAUCUGCCCCAAAGAUAUGUUAUGAAAACAUUGUUCAUCCUACAACAUUUCUAUGCUCUUUUUGUUUGAGAGUAAAUACUAAUGGCAACUUUAUCUUUAUCACUUAUAUUUUUCAUGAAAGUAAUUCCAGUAGGAUUUCUGAUGGAUAAACAAUCUUAGAGGAGACUCAAUACCCUCGAGUCCACCUCUUUUUAGAAGAUGUUGUGCACUGUUAAGAGGACACUGGGGGUACAGCCAGUUGCCUGAUCUCACUGGGGUUUACAGCAUUAAGGCAAAGCUCCAGGGUCCCUAUGUAAUUAGAUCUCAGCUGUGGCUGGAUGAAAAACAGUGGUAAGAACUACAUCUAAAUCUGGGCCUCGGUCAGUAGAUUUAUAGGAGAAAUAAAAAAAAAUGCUGUUUGUAGAACUUGUCCUUCUGUUGAGGGCAGUGAAGAGAUUGUGAAGGAAAGUCUGAAAACGAGUCAAAAUCUGUCCACGGCGGUGUAUCAUUGCAAGGGUACUCUGGAAAUAAAAACAUGGGUGAAGAAUCUUCUCAUUUUCAAGUUUUUUUUCUUGCUCUUGACCCCUCCUGUCUAACGCUGGAAGUCACAGCAGCAGGUGAUAUAAAUCAACUCUUAUGCAUUUUAUCUUUAUUAUGAGUGGAAUCUUUGAAGAUAUUAAUUCAUGCAUUAUUACCCCAUACAAAUGGAGUAUGAUAGAAACAUACACUUAAUUAUCUGUGUUCUGUGUAGACAAUAGAAAAGUGUGCAGAGUGCUGUUAUUAUGGAGUUACCCAACAAGUCUCUGAGGAAAUGACAGAGGACAUGAUACAGGUGACCUGGGGGUUUGCAAUCUUUUAUUGUAGGAAGUAGGAAAACAUCUGCAGAAGAAUUCCAGGGAUUCAACAAGUCCAUCUUCCAUAUUUCCAAAGCCUUAAAUAAUGAGGUGGAAUCAGAUGCCUCCUUCUAUCCCUCUGUGAACCCAUUUUGUAUUCUACACGCAAGGCUGUGAAACGCAUGGCAGCAAGUUGAGAAACUGACCAGCUGCCUACGAGACACUGGGGCCAAUCUCUCCUGAAGCAAGCUGCCAAAAUCUUGUUGAUGCAGAAAGAAAUCUGAAGGGUCAAGUAUUCGGAGGAGCAGGGCAUGACUUCCGGGGAGAAGUUUAAGCUCCUGAAACAAUGACCUGAGUGGAUAGAAGCCAGGCUCAUUUGGACUGCACUGUAAUUCCCUAUAACCCAGACAGAAGAAGUCCAAAGCAGCCAGGACUGAACGUGAAGAUGAAAGGUAGACUGGACAGCGUGAACGUCCUCCCAGCAGUCCUGUGAAACAGUUUGGACAGAGACAUGGUCUGUCAGCUUCUCAAAGAUGUAUUUUAGAAGAAUGAUUUUCCAGUCCUAAUCUCAAAGCUGCAAAAUCCUAUUUUCUGAUCCUACUUUUAUCCUGUACCCCUCCCUAUGCUUCACAGACAGGAGCAGCAUUUUCUGAUUUCCGCUAAAUAAGACCAUUUUCACCUACAUACUUCAGCUGCUGGGUUUCCAGGUGAACAGUGGUGCUUUGCUGUCAUGGUAGGAGCAGAGGAGCCCUGCUAGUGCUGUCUCACACCACACCACAUUCCCUCUGCUAUUCCUCUCCCAGGUAGCCAAGACUGAUAUAAAAAAUACAGAAUUUUGUGCCUAUAUUUCUAUGUUACAUAUUUAUUAAUUAUUUGCUGCUCAAAAUUUCCUUAUCCACUAUUUUUGUGUGUGUCUAUACCAAGUCUUUUCCUUUUCAACAUGAUCCAUCCUUUCUACCUUACAUUUACUCGUGUUUACUAAACACUCUAAGCGGCUCUCAAAAUCGACUUCCUAUUGGAAUCACUUGAGGAACUUUAAAAAAUGUUCAAUGUCUAAUUGCCCACCCCAGGCCAAUUAAAUUAGAAUCUCAUGGAGUGAGGCUCAGACAUCAACAUUUUAUAUAAUCUCCCCAGGUGAUUAUGAGAUGCAACUAAGGUUGAAAACCACUGCUAACCCAAAUGCUAUGAAAUUUCUGCCUACCCUACUAUAAGACAGAGCUCACCAAAGCCUUUUAGCUUUCUCUGAUGUUCAGCUUAGAACUUGACGAUGCUUCCUCCAAAGGCACUGCUGACAAUCUGAUUAUCUGAAUUAAUUCACCCUCACAUCCAUUUCUCCUAGAGAUCACACCAUACAAUCACAGUCCCUCUAGAAUUCUCUUGCAGAAACACAGAAAACGGGCUAAGUAACUCAAUAACAUCCUUCUAAUUUUAUUAAGAAAGGUAAACUAUUACAGAGUAGAGGAAACGAAAAGGCAAGAAGGCAGUUUGCGUACUUAGAAGCACAAAAGUAUAAUAUUUACUUUAGACCCUUCUUGCAGGCAUCGAGUAGUCCCAGUCUGCACACUGAAGACAGACCAGCACCUUGCCUUUUGGUUAAUAAUGGUGCCAGCUGUUCUCCCAGGCAGUGUUGGGCUUGUUCUUUGCCUAUUACGUAAGAAUACACUGAGUCAGAGAAGAUGUUGAUCUGCAGUUACUGUCAAGUUGUGGAAUUAGACAGCCUCAGGAUGCAGACCUUCCUGUGCAAAUGAUAUUUACCUAGAGGCUUGCUUGGAAUAUAAAUGAAAGCAUCACUCCACGAUAAACUAUACAUGUUUGGUGAUCGAUACAGAACUCUAAUUUUCUCAAGUUAAUGCCUUUUAAUGACAGGUUCCCAAUGCUAGCUGUAGACAGUUACAUGCGAGAUUAUCAAUCAUGGAGAUGUCUUAGCUGGGAAUUAUUAAUCUUUACUCCCCCAGCAUUACAUAAUUGAUAAUGACUAUAUUGACAGUUCCAAGAAGGCUUCUGAGAUGGAUCUGCUCAGUAGAAAGGCAAACAUUAGCACUGAGGAGUGCAGAAACGGCAUGCUGUGAGUUCUAACGAGUGUACUCUGCAACCUCUACUUGUAUCCUGUGGUUCUCAGGGUUUUCUCCAGAAAGAUUACUUGUGAUCAGAAAGUGACUAUAUGCAAGUGUCACCUUUUUACUGUGGAUAUUUGUUUCCUGUGAGUCUUCAAGUUAUUUUUCAUGGCUUUUGUUGGAGGAAAAAUAGAGUUCAUUUCCAAUAUGGGUCCACAGAUCCAAUAGAACUACACGAGAGAGAACAUUAGCACACACUUGCCAGCACAUCAGCGUUCUUUAUGGACUUUACCUUUUUGGUAGCAAAUAGAAGGCAGAAGGAAGGAUACGCAAGAUGAUUUAGGGCUGAGGAGAUGCCGUGCGGUCAUCGGAUACAUUUAAUAUGAAAAAGUAUGCCUCUCUUGAAAUGAAAAUCGCAUUCAUUGAAAACGAAAUUUUUUCCCAUACGUGUUUGGCUGACUUUGUCUGACAAAGAGGAUAAAGGAAAAUUAAUUUUACAGUUUUAUGUAGGACAAAAGUCUUAUCAAGAAUGCGAAAUCUACAUGUAUGUGACUACUCUCUGAAGUAUGUACAUAGAAAGUAUAUUUUUCUCUGUACAGUUAGACCAAUGGCUUUUCAUAUUUUCAUUAUAAAUAUAACCAAAUUACUAACAUUGACAACAACCACUUCAGCUCUUAGCCUUUUCUUCCAUUUUAUACCGAGGGAUCCUCUAUCCCCUUCAUACACACGCCUGGGUUUUACAGCACACUCUUUAAUGCAGGUCACUUUUUCUAAAGUAGAAAGAAUAUGCCUUCGAACUAACUGACCAUUUGGCCCCCUCCUUUCCUCCGUCCCUAUGGAACAUAUGACGGAAAAUUUCUUUAAAAUCACUUAACUGUUGUCCCAGGAGCUGUAAAAUAUUCUAUUUCUCUCUCCUUUUUCUUGUGCUACACUUGCCUCAUCACGAUGUAACAUGGCAGGGCCGUGAAUGGAACCUUGGCCACUCAAGCAAUGUAUUAGGCUUUGGUGUAGCCUUAAGAAAAUCACCUUACAUUACAGAAUCUUCUUCCUGUCUAUGGACGGUAGUGAUAAUGAUCCAUGCUGUGACAUAUCAGUCUUACAUGAUAAGACUUUGAAAAGUGUAAGAUUUAAUACUCAUGAAUGGUGUUAUAUAUAUUAUACAUAUAGUUAUCUAUAUAGUUGUUAUCGUUGGGGUUUGAAAUCAGCCCUUGCACACACAGUACUAAGCAUGUGCUUUGCAACCGAGCCAGGUCCACAGCCACAAUAACUUUGAAGCCCACAAAGUUCCAGAUAAAUAUACAACCUCAUAUUCCUUUGUCUCUCUAUCCUUUAAUUGAUUUUAAAUAUUUUCUAUUUACUUAUUGAGUACUUUUUUCAUCUCUAUCAAUAGGGACUGAAAAUGUGUUAUUGGAUGUGUGUAUAUAUAUAUUUAUAUAUAUAGCAUCUAUCAUCAUAUGUUAUCUUACUGCCAAAUUGUUUCAUGUGAGUUCUAAUGAUUUUCUCAACUACAUGGCACCUGCCCCACUGUCCGUAAAAGCGCAGUGUUACUCAGAAUUACCAAGUACCAGCAUUAUUGACAGUCUAGAUAUUGAUACUGCUGGAACUAAGAUGUGCUCCCCCACUUCAUGGACCAGUAGAAAUAAGGGUUACUUUUUCAGUUAUGUCUCAGUAGUUGUGCUGAUGUAGUGAGAAUUUACAUUUCUGAGGACAUUGCCUGAUCCUUGUUGCUGUAAUUAGCAUCUACUAAAGAAUACACAUUUUGUAAUUCCUGAUAACGAAAAUAAAUUGUAUUUUAGUCUGCAUCCUCAAUUUGAUAUCUACAAUGAGAACAUGUAUUGAAUUUUUGACAUAAUUUCUUUUUUUUCAACUAAUCUGCAUUUGUGUUACUGUUUUUUAAUUUAAAUAAAUAUUAAGGGAUUAAUGUUCUCAUUUUAAGAAGAUGGCUCUCAUCCAUCUUCUAGUAUUCAUGAAUACCAGGAUAGAUUUAAACUACAGUGACUUCACUGCUAAAUAACUUCCAGUUGUAUAAUCAACUUCUGGAAAUAAGAUUGACUUGAGGUUAUUGGCCAAAAACUAGCCCUUCACUUCCUAGAUGAAUAGAGACACUUAAGCUAAUAACAUAAUGGCAGAAACUAAUUUGAUACCAACUAUUAAAGAAUAACUUUGGUCCCAAGAUUUUUCAAUGCAUCUAUUUUAUAUAUACUGAAUAAUUGACUUGCCUUUAUUAUACUGUUUUACUUUCUAAAUAUGUUUUGAUUAAUAAUACAUGUUCUCUAAUCAAAUGCAUAUUAUGGCUUUUCCACUUUUUAUAAAU